UUAAGCGACUAAGCGUACACGGUGGAUGCCCUGGCAGUCAGAGGCGAUGAAGGGCGUGCUAAUCUGCGAUAAGCGCCGGUAAGGUGAUAUGAACCGUUAUAACCGGCGAUACCCGAAUGGGGAAACCCAGUGUGAUUCGUCACACUAUCAUUAACUGAAUCCAUAGGUUAAUGAGGCGAACCGGGGGAACUGAAACAUCUAAGUACCCCGAGGAAAAGAAAUCAACCGAGAUUCCCCCAGUAGCGGCGAGCGAACGGGGAGGAGCCCAGAGCCUGAAUCAGCAUGUGUGUUAGUGGAAGCGUCUGGAAAGGCGCGCGAUACAGGGUGACAGCCCCGUACACAAAAGCGCAUGUGCUGUGAGCUCGAUGAGUAGGGCGGGACACGUGGUAUCCUGUCUGAAUAUGGGGGGACCAUCCUCCAAGGCUAAAUACUCCUGACUGACCGAUAGUGAACCAGUACCGUGAGGGAAAGGCGAAAAGAACCCCGGCGAGGGGAGUGAAAAAGAACCUGAAACCGUGUACGUACAAGCAGUGGGAGCACAGGUUUACCUGUGUGACUGCGUACCUUUUGUAUAAUGGGUCAGCGACUUAUAUUCUGUAGCAAGGUUAACCGAAUAGGGGAGCCGGAGGGAAACCGAGUCUUAAUUGGGCGUUAAGUUGCAGGGUAUAGACCCGAAACCCGGUGAUCUAGCCAUGGGCAGGUUGAAGGUUGGGUAACACUAACUGGAGGACCGAACCGACUAAUGUUGAAAAAUUAGCGGAUGACCUGUGGCUGGGGGUGAAAGGCCAAUCAAACCGGGAGAUAGCUGGUUCUCCCCGAAAGCUAUUUAGGUAGCGCCUCGUGAAUUCAUCUCCGGGGGUAGAGCACUGUUUCGGCUAGGGGGCCAUCCCGGCUUACCAACCCGAUGCAAACUGCGAAUACCGGAGAAUGUUAUCACGGGAGACACACGGCGGGUGCUAACGUCCGUCGUGAAGAGGGAAACAACCCAGACCGCCAGCUAAGGUCCCAAAGUCAUGGUUAAGUGGGAAACGAUGUGGGAAGGCCCAGACAGCCAGGAUGUUGGCUUAGAAGCAGCCAUCAUUUAAAGAAAGCGUAAUAGCUCACUGGUCGAGUCGGCCUGCGCGGAAGAUGUAACGGGGCUAAACCAUGCACCGAAGCUGCGGCAGCGACACUGUGUGUUGUUGGGUAGGGGAGCGUUCUGUAAGCCUGUGAAGGUGUGUCGUGAGGCAUGCUGGAGGUAUCAGAAGUGCGAAUGCUGACAUAAGUAACGAUAAAGCGGGUGAAAAGCCCGCUCGCCGGAAGACCAAGGGUUCCUGUCCAACGUUAAUCGGGGCAGGGUGAGUCGACCCCUAAGGCGAGGCCGAAAGGCGUAGUCGAUGGGAAACGGGUUAAUAUUCCCGUACUUGGUGUUACUGCGAAGGGGGGACGGAGAAGGCUAUGUUGGCCGGGCGACGGUUGUCCCGGUUUAAGCGUGUAGGUGUGUGUUCCAGGUAAAUCCGGUUCACUUUAACACUGAGGCGUGACGACGAGGCACUACGGUGCUGAAGCAACAAAUGCCCUGCUUCCAGGAAAAGCCUCUAAGCAUCAGGUAACAUCAAAUCGUACCCCAAACCGACACAGGUGGUCAGGUAGAGAAUACCAAGGCGCUUGAGAGAACUCGGGUGAAGGAACUAGGCAAAAUGGUGCCGUAACUUCGGGAGAAGGCACGCUGACACGUAGGUGAAGUGAUUUACUCAUGGAGCUGAAGUCAGUCGAAGAUACCAGCUGGCUGCAACUGUUUAUUAAAAACACAGCACUGUGCAAACACGAAAGUGGACGUAUACGGUGUGACGCCUGCCCGGUGCCGGAAGGUUAAUUGAUGGGGUCAGCGCAAGCGAAGCUCCUGAUCGAAGCCCCGGUAAACGGCGGCCGUAACUAUAACGGUCCUAAGGUAGCGAAAUUCCUUGUCGGGUAAGUUCCGACCUGCACGAAUGGCGUAAUGAUGGCCAGGCUGUCUCCACCCGAGACUCAGUGAAAUUGAACUCGCUGUGAAGAUGCAGUGUACCCGCGGCAAGACGGAAAGACCCCGUGAACCUUUACUAUAGCUUGACACUGAACAUUGAGCCUUGAUGUGUAGGAUAGGUGGGAGGCUUUGAAGUGUGGACGCCAGUCUGCAUGGAGCCGACCUUGAAAUACCACCCUUUAAUGUUUGAUGUUCUAACGUGGACCCGUUACCCGGGUUGCGGACAGUGUCUGGUGGGUAGUUUGACUGGGGCGGUCUCCUCCUAAAGAGUAACGGAGGAGCACGAAGGUUGGCUAAUCCUGGUCGGACAUCAGGAGGUUAGUGCAAUGGCAUAAGCCAGCUUGACUGCGAGCGUGACGGCGCGAGCAGGUGCGAAAGCAGGUCAUAGUGAUCCGGUGGUUCUGAAUGGAAGGGCCAUCGCUCAACGGAUAAAAGGUACUCCGGGGAUAACAGGCUGAUACCGCCCAAGAGUUCAUAUCGACGGCGGUGUUUGGCACCUCGAUGUCGGCUCAUCACAUCCUGGGGCUGAAGUAGGUCCCAAGGGUAUGGCUGUUCGCCAUUUAAAGUGGUACGCGAGCUGGGUUUAGAACGUCGUGAGACAGUUCGGUCCCUAUCUGCCGUGGGCGCUGGAGAACUGAGGGGGGCUGCUCCUAGUACGAGAGGACCGGAGUGGACGCAUCACUGGUGUUCGGGUUGUCAUGCCAAUGGCACUGCCCGGUAGCUAAAUGCGGAAGAGAUAAGUGCUGAAAGCAUCUAAGCACGAAACUUGCCCCGAGAUGAGUUCUCCCUGAGACUUAGAGUCUCCUGAAGGAACGUUGAAGACGACGACGUUGAUAGGCCGGGUGUGUAAGCGCAGCGAUGCGUUGAGCUAACCGGUACUAAUGAACCGUGAGGCUUAACCUU
rnacentral:rRNA from 3 species